UACGUAGGGACCGAGCGUUGUCCGGAAUCAUUGGGCGUAAAGAGCGUGUAGGCGGCCUGUUAAGUCUUGCGUGAAAUCUCGGGGCUCAACCCCGGACUUGCGGUGGGUACGGGCAGACUAGAGUGUGGUAGGGGAGACUGGAAGUUCCUGGUGUAGCGGUGAAAUGACGCAGAUAUCAGGAGGAACACCGAUGGCGAAGGCAGGUCUCUGGGCCGAUACUGACGCUCAGGCGCGAAAGCUAGGGGAGCGAACAGG
rnacentral:rRNA from 1 species